UCGGAUGUAGUGUAUGGUACACAUCGGCUCUUACUGGCUGUGACCACCGUGCGAAGUUGACGCUGAAGAACGGGGUUCGACUCCCCGCAUCCGAA